UAAAAAUGAAAAGAGAAACACACACAUUAGCCUAGGCUAGGCCUACACAGAGUCAGGAUCAUCAAUAUCACUGUCUCCCACCUCCUCGUCUUGUCCCAUCAGAAGGUCUUUAGGGGACUAGCACACCUAGGGCAGUCACCGCCUGUGAUAACAGGGCUGCUUUCUGAAUCCAUCCUGAAAGCCCUGUCUGAGGCUCUUCUUGAGGAAUUGUCACUCUUUUCAGAAACAUGGCCAUGGUGAUGUGCUUGGUUUCCUUUUUUCAUCAUAGAUUUGCCUGUAAGCAGAUAAGGCACUAUGAACAUUCCUGUCUAUGAAAGAAAGCCUUCCGUGUUGAGGUCUAUGCUUCAGACUUGUUAAGACCCUGUAUUCAGUGGAUCAGCUGGCACCACCCAAAUAGAUAAAUUGGCCCAUCUGGUCUUGUGGCCCCCACCCAGGAAUGGACUCAGCUCAAGAGGACAGCUUCAGCUCCCUAAGAUUUUAUCUUGGACCCGACCAAUCAGCACUCCCGACUUACUGGCCCUCUACUCACCAAGUUAUCCUUAAAAACCUCAAUCCCUGAGUUUUCAGAGAGACUGAUUUGAAUAAUAAUAAAACUCCGGUCUUCCACA
rnacentral:lncRNA from 1 species